AAUGAACGUUGGCGGCAUGGAUUAGGCAUGCAAGUCGGGGGAAUCCCAGCAAUGGGGGAACCGGCGUAAGGGGCAGUAAGGCAUGGGUACCUACCUUGGGGUUCGGGAUAGCCAUCAGAGAUGGUGGGUAAUACCGGAUGUCGUCGUGAGACCAAAGAUUUAUCGCCCUUAGAGGGGCCCAUGUGAUAUUAGCUAGUUGGUGGGGUAACGGCCCACCAAGGCGAAGAUGUCUAGCGGGUGUGAGAGCACGACCCGCGCCACUCGCACUGAGACACUGGCGAGACACCUACGGGUGGCUGCAGUCGAGGAUCUUCGGGAAUGAGCGCAAGCUUGACCGAGCGAUGCCGCGUGAGCGAUGAAGGCCUUCGGGUUGUAAAGCUCUUCAGUGGGGGAGAAAAGCCGCAAGGUGUGAUCUAUCCCAAAAAUAAGCACGGGCUAAGUUCGUGCCAGCCGCCGCCGUAA
rnacentral:rRNA from 1 species